GGAAUCUUCGGCAAUGGGGGCAACCCUGACCGAGCAACGCCGCGUGAGUGAAGAAGGUUUUCGGAUCGUAAAGCUCUGUUGUUGGUGAAGAAGGAUAGAGGCAGUAACUGGUCUUUAUUUGACGGUAAUCAACCAGAAAGUCACGGCUAACUACGUGCCAA
rnacentral:rRNA from 1 species